rnacentral:rRNA from 1 species
AAAGGAAUUGACGGGGGCCCGCACAAGCGGAGGAACAUGUGGUUUAAUUCGAUGAUACGCGAGGAACCUUACCCGGGUUUGAACGCAGAGAGACAGGAGUGGAAACAUUCUUUUCAGCAAUGACUGUCUGCGAGGUGCUGCAUGGUUGUCGUCAGCUCGUGCCGUGAGGUGUCGGCUUAAGUGCCAUAACGAGCGCAACCCUUAUCUUUAGUUACUAACAGGUCAAGCUGAGGACUCUAGAGAGACUGCCAGCGUAAGCUGUGAGGAAGGUGGGGAUGACGUCAAAUCAGCACGGCCCUUACAUCCGGGGCGACACACGUGUUACAAUGGUAAGGACAAAGGGCAGCUACCGGGCGACCGGAUGCGAAUCUCUAAACCUUAUCUCAGUUCGGAUCGGAGUCUGCAACUCGACUCCGUGAAGCUGGAUUCGCUAGUAAUCGCGCAUCAGCCAUGGCGCGGUGAAUACGUUCCCGGGCCUUGUACACACCGCCCGU